AUCACUUCUCGGCCUUUUGGCUAAGAUCAAAGUGUAGUAUCUGUUUUUAUCAGCUUAAUCUCUGGCAUUCUAUGGAUAAUGACGCCUUUAAAGAGACCAUAGCCUGCGCAACCUCC
rnacentral:snRNA from 1 species